UGAUGACUGAGUUCAUUACAUUGCUUAAUUUCGUGAAAUGAAACUUUAAUAGCUAGUUAAGGAAUUGGGUGUAGUGACUAGUCGGUUCUCGUUUCGCAUUGAGCAGUAUAGAGGCUCAUGGGGGAGACUGGUCAAGAAUCGCUUCACUGAGUAUUCAUACUCACCCCUCUUUUUCCCUCUCCCUCUUUGUCGAACUAUAAGUGGAAGUGUCGAUGGAAAGAAAGGAAACGCACCUGAAACUUAUGAGACCAGAAACGGGACACACGGAGAUGUCGGGAAAG
rnacentral:lncRNA from 1 species